rnacentral:lncRNA from 1 species
ACAAUAGACAUACGUAUUGCGUAGAGAAUUUCUCUCUAAUGUUAUGCUUUCAACUUUUGCAAUUAUAACUAAACCCAAACCUAUAUUUCGAGCUCCUACCACUAUCAUCACGUGACACAAAAUAAGAAGAAUCACCUUUAACUAUUUGGUCUAGUAACACAGUUUACAUUUUAUAAGGGAGGAUUCCGAGUAAACUCGCGAAUUACAAACAAAAACGAGAAGAAUCAUUACAAAUCUAAAACUUUAGCCACCCAAAAAUUGAACAUCAUUUCAGCUGCAGCAUGAAGAACGUUUCCCGGAUGAAGACUAAAACAUCACCAAAAAUAGCAUCAUUUCAGUAAUUUAGGAAGUGCUAAACGUCUGGUUAGUUGAUUAUUUCGUGGGGUUUUCCUCCUCAGCUAACGAAAAAGAUUGGAAAACCACAAAACCAGCCAUUAACAAAUUUAAAAUAACUUGGAUUUCUGUCUGUCUGCUCUCUGUGCCAAAGGAAGAAAAAAGACGAACAAAAGGAAAAAAAGGCAGUGGUGCUGUGGAGAAUUGGUGGGUUAUAUAAAUUGUGUACAAGAAAACUCACACACCUAGUUUUAAGAUGGAUGCACGCAUCAAAGUAUGUAGACAACAGAAACAAGGCUUUACUUGGCAAAUGUUACAAAUCCUUACCAAUUUACUACCGAACCCAAGUGCGUCUUGUUUUUCUUUUCCUUAUCCAUGAGGACUGGUCGAUUCAAAUUUUUAAAGGCCAUCUCCAGCAAGUGA